rnacentral:lncRNA from 1 species
AUGGGGUCUAUUGGGGUCUAUUGGGGUCUAUUGGGAUCCAUUGGGGUCUAUUGGGGUCUAUUGGGGUCUAUUGGGGUCUAUUGGGAUCUAUGGGGAUCUAUAGGGAUCCAUUGGGGUCUGUUGGGGUCUAUUGGGAUCUAUUGGGGUCUAUUGGGGUCUAUUGGGAUCUAUUGGGAUCUAUUGGGGUCUUUUGGGAUCUAUUGGGGUCUAUUGGGAUCUAUUGGGGUCUAUUGGGGUUUAUUGGGGUCUAUUGGGAUCUAUUGGGGUCUAUUGGGGUCUAUUGGGAUCUAUGGGACUGGGAUCUAUUGGGAUCUAUUGGGGUCUAUUGGUGUCUAUUGGGGUCUAUUGGGGUCUAUUGGGAUCUAUUGGGGUCUAUUGGGGUCUAUUGGGAUCUAUUGGGGUCUAUUGGGAUCCAUUGGGAUCUAUUGGGGUCUAUUGGGGUCUAUGGGGAUCUAUUGGGAUCCAUUGGGGUCUAUUGGGAUCCAUUGGGGUCCAUUGGGGUCCAUUGGGGCCAUUGGGGUCCAUUGGGAUCUAUUGGGGUCUAUUGGGGUCUAUUGGGAUCUAUUGGGGUCUAUUGGGGAUCUAUUGGGGUCUAUUGGGAUCUAUUGGGGUCUAUUGGGAUCCGUUGGGGUCUAUUGGGAUCUAUUGGGGUCUGUUGGGAUCUAUUGGGAUCUAUUGGGAUCUAUUGGGGGUCUAUUGAGAUCUAUUGGGGUCUAUUGGGAUCUAUUGGGGUCUAUUGAGGUCUAUUGGGAUCUAUUGGGGUCUAUUGAGAUCUAUUGGGGUGGGUCUAUUGGGAUCUAUUGGGGUCAAUGGGGCUCUAUGGGGCUGGGGUCAAUGGGGCUCUAUGGGGCUGGGGUCAAUGGGGCUCUAUGGGGAUCUAUUGGAAUCUAUUGGGGUCUAUUUGGAUCUAUUGGGAUCUAUGGGGCUGGGAUCUCUUGGGAUCUAUUGGGAUCUAUGGGGAUGGGAUCUAUUGGGAUCUAUGGGGCUGGGAUCUAUUGGAAUCUAUGGGGCUGGGAUCUAUGGCUCCUACCUGAAUCCCAUCCCUCAUCUCUGUGCUUACCCAACUCAGCCCCAUAA